CAGCCGCCACGGUAAUACGAAGGGUGCAGGCGUUAAUCGGAAUUACUGGGCGUAAAGCGUGCGUAGGCGGUUUGUUAAGUCUGUUGUGAAAUCCCCGGGCUCAACCUGGGAAUGGCAAUGGAUACUGGCAAGCUAGAGUGUGUCAGAGGAUGGUGGAAUUCCCGGUGUAGCGGUGAAAUGCGUAGAGAUCGGGAGGAACAUCAGUGGCGAAGGCGGCCAUCUGGGACAACACUGACGCUGAGGCACGAAAGCGUGGGGAGCAAACAGGAUUAGAGACCCGCGUAGUUCCUGUCUCUUAUAC
rnacentral:rRNA from 1 species